rnacentral:rRNA from 1 species
AUGGGCGAUGAUGAGACAUUCAACAUGAUUGAAUUCAUGAAGACAACCCAACGAGGCUCUAAGCGUUCUGUUAUGCAGUGCAUUUUUUGUGAUAAUGAUCUUUACUAUCAAUUGUUUAGAGCAACUCCUGAGAAGGACGAAGACAGGUAUACUAAGGGGAACUUUUACAGACUUGGUGGUGCUAAAAGGGUAUUCCCGGAGAGCUUAUUUGGAGAGCUUAAAGAUCUUGAAGGAGCCCCUGAGUCCUAUCAUGAUGUUGAGCAGAUUGCGGUGUACGCAAAUGUAUUCAGGAAGAUGGUUGAGAAAGUCAAGAAGCUCAAAAAAGAAACGGCUAAGAAGUUUGAUCCUGAUCGUUUGCCCCUUGUGCAGCUUCCAAUCGUUGCUGUAUGCGAGUCUGAAAGGUUUCCAGCAGUACUAAGGUUCACGACUGGUAACUUUUACAGCUCAACACCGCAGCACGUAACUAGCACGCUUCGGGAACUUGUACAUAACUGGGGGAGGUUGUCCAAGUUGGCUUUCUUGAUGAUUCUGGCUGUCAUUGAGUUUGACGUGGGAUGCUACGAUUGCAGAAAGAGCUUCAACGAAGCUAGAGCUAAUUUGCACAACACCGUGAGGGCGGUAUCUACACUUGAACUUGACUUCAGAGGUCCUGAUGGGCAUUUCAGCCUGAAAAAGCUGCUGGGCGUGGGCGGCUGUGUUCAUGUCCUCAAGUUUGAGUUUGAUGAUGUGAUCCGUAUUAUCAUGAGGGCCAGACAUGAUGCACGAGGUGCAAUCAGAGAGAUUCGAGCAAAACUGGAUAUCUCUACAGCUGGAGCUGAUGUGGAGCUUGCUGGAGCUGAUGCCAAGAAGGUGAUAUCUUCACAUGAGCGAAAAGAAGCUCAGACCAGGGAGCUUGCUGGAGUUCGUGCUGAAGCUGAUGCUGCUGCUAGAGCUGAUGUGAAGAAGACGCAAGCGAAGGUGUCAGUCUUGACCAGGGAGCUUGCUGGAGUUCGUGCUGAAGCUGAUGAUGCUGCUAGAGCUGAUGUGAAGAAGACGCAAGCGAAGGUGUCAGUCUUGACACCUUCAGAUGGAGCUGAUGUGAAUGAGUUGCAAACGAAGGUGCCAGUCCCGACAACAUCGCGAUCUUUGGUUGAGCUUGCUGGAGCUGAUGCCAAGAAGGUGAUAUCUUCGCAUGAGCGAAAAGAAGCUCAGACCAGGGCGGUGCCACCUGAUGAAGUUGAGUGGGCAAGGUGGCAGAAGUGUAGGCGUGCAGGUCUAAAGGUCAUGGACCUACUCAUGGAAUGA